AUUGAACGCUGGCGGCAUGCCUUACACAUGCAAGUCGAACGGUAACAGGUCUUCGGAUGCUGACGAGUGGCGAACGGGUGAGUAAUACAUCGGAACGUGCCCAGACGUGGGGGAUAACGAGGCGAAAGCUUUGCUAAUACCGCAUACGAUCUAAGGAUGAAAGCAGGGGACCGCAAGGCCUUGCGCGUUUGGAGCGGCGGAUGGCAGAUUAGGUAGUUGGUGGGAUAAAAGCUUACCAAGCCGACGAUCUGUAGCUGGUCUGAGAGGACGACCAGCCACACUGGGACUGAGACACGGCCCAGACUCCUACGGGAGGCAGCAGUGGGGAAUUUUGGACAAUGGGCGAAAGCCUGAUCCAGCAAUGCCGCGUGCAGGAUGAAGGCCUUCGGGUUGUAAACUGCUUUUGUACGGAAAGAAAAGGCUCUGGCUAAUACCUGGGGCACAUGACGGUACCGUAAGAAUAAGCACCGGCUAACUACGUG
rnacentral:rRNA from 1 species